rnacentral:rRNA from 1 species
AUUGAACGCUGGCGGCAGGCUUAACACAUGCAAGUCGAGCGAGCGGCGGACGGGUGAGUAAUGUCCGGGAAACUGCCUGAUGGUGGGGGAUAACUACUGGAAACGGUAGCUAAUACCGCAUACCAUCAGAUGUGCCCAGAGGGGAUUGGCUAGUAGGUGGGGUAAUGGCCCACCUAGGUGACGAUCCCUAGCUGGUCUGAGAGGAUGACCAGCCACACUGGAACUGAGACACGGGCCAGACUCCUACGGGAGGCAGUAGUGGGGAAUAUUGGACAAUGGGCGCAAGCCUGAUGCAGCCAUGCCGCGUGUGUGAAGAAGGCCUUCGGGUUGUAAAGCACUUUCGGCGAGGAGGCGUUACUCGCAGAAGAAGCACCGGCUAACUCCGUGCCAGCAGCCGCGGUAAUUC